GCCCUGGUGUCCAGUUGCUAAGACUCUGUGCUCCCAAUGCAGGGGGCCCAGGUUCUAUUCCUGGUCAGGGAA
rnacentral:tRNA from 1 species